rnacentral:misc_RNA from 1 species
CCAAACCGAUUGAAUUUUAAAACUAAACCGAUUGAAACAAAUUGAAUCGAACUGAAUCGAUUUUGCUCUCCCCUAACGGCAAUUACAUCCACGAAUCUAUUUUCUUCUCUAGUCAAAAGUUGGCACAAGUCAGGUCCUAAAACCUUUUCAAGAACUCUGAUCUUGGCAAGAAGGUUAGCAAUUUUUGAAAACUUUUUGAAGGAACUCCUUCAGGCACAGGAUCAGCGGCCUCAAAAUGCACGCCAAUUUGGGCAACAGCAUGCUUCGUUUCAUACAACGACCAUUGCUCCCAACUGUUCAGCUCUACCUACCAUCGUUCUUCUUCCUCAUUUGAGGCCACUUUAUUACAAUAUUUGGCAACCCCAAUCAAUGCCCCUAGUUCCACCACCAAGUUGUUAAGGCGCCCGGCAUGUUUUUCUGCAUUGUAAUAAACAGCAAUAAAUUUGGAUGGCAACUUGCAUGCAUAUUCUAGGCUCUACUUCAUUGGAGUUGCCCAUUGAAAUAAACAAAAAAUUGGCCUCUGGAAUUUAUCAUACAAUCUUAUUUAUCAGGACAUGAUGUUGGCUUUCCGAUUUAGAGCAGUUCCCUUUUCUUGUUUCCUCCUAGAUAUCCAUCAAGUUUAAACAUACUGCUAUGCUGGCUUCAAGUCUUCAUGAUUCAUAAUGGAGAAGCAUCUGACGCCUACGCUGAGAUCUUCUGUGGCUACGAGUAAGUGCUCUGGCAGGUGUGCUUGAGGUUCUAGUGUCAUGGAUCUCCUACAAUGGUGCCAUGGAACCAAAAAUCCUAUCUAAAGCCAUCACAUCAGCACCAGGGUUGAUCUAAAAGAAAAGAUAUAUCAGAUAAUAUGAUUAUUUUCCAAUGGCAUAUUUGAUGGAAAGGCUCUUUUCAUAUUCCAGUUAAACAGAAUAUUAAUCAUUGAAAGAUAAAGAAGAGCAGCAUCUUUCCCACCUUUUCUUUUUCUUCCCUGCCUUCUAAAGUGCGCAAGCAAAGACAUAAAGAAUUGGCAGAAGAAAUAUAACCACAAUUAAAAUGCUUAGCAAAAAGCAAUUGUAUUACCAUUAUUUUAAAUAGAAAACCAACUUUUUUAAGAUGCUGAGAUCCGUACUCUCGGUGAAAAGAGUUGAUCCCAAUUAAUCAGGUUCUUCACAUAUCAUAUUAUCAUUUUGCUGUUAUGCCAAAUUAUGCUCCGUAAUGUUGAGCGUAGAAAGCCUGCCCAAAAUAACUUGUCAGAGGUGCCAAUUCCUGGUUAUUAGCAAGCUCAGUUCGUAACAUGGCAUGUCAAGGAUAACUUUAUAUCCAUAUCAUGGAAUUGAUGAACUGCAAGUUUAACACCAAACCCUAGAAAUGCCAUAGACAAAGGCCCAGAAAAUUGCAAUACUUCACAACUCUUUCAGCACAGAAAGAGGCCACAGGCAAACUCAGCACUGUCAAUCUAUCAAUACAGGCAGGACUGGGGGACAAGUAGAAAAUCUAAUCUCUGUUUCGAGUGGCACACCACUAACAGUUUCAUCCACCUGGAGCACUCUCUUAUGUUGCCUAAAACAUCACAGCAUCCAUGGAUGACUCUGUUGAAAGAGAAUGCUUUUGACUUACAGAAGUGCCAGGUCUCCUUCCCACUAGUUUCCAUACAUACUGGGCUAAACAUCUGGCCAUUUUCUUUUCAGAAUUGUCAAAAUUGAGGAUCUAAAUUUCUCCAUCACUAUAAGUGUGCACUUUUUGUUAUCACACCUCUGGAAUGGAGACCCAGCCCGUGACAAGUGGUAUUAGAAUUGACCCUAUUCUUCAAUUGUGUGGGUUCCUCAUGAGAGACAGUAGGAUCAAGGUAGAUCCAGAACAAGGAGCCGGUGCAUGACAGAUGGCUUAUCCUAUGAACCAACUUGCCGUGAUCAAACCAGCAUUCGCUUUGACUCCACAUGAGCCUUUUUUCUAUCAGAAUCACUGUGGGAAACAAUGCGUGAAUCACUCUGUGAGUCGCAGUCAUUCAUCCUUUGACCAUGAGCAACAUUUUUCGAUAACACCACCUUAAUAGUGGUUAAUCUGAGUUUUAGUUAUGAAACACUUUCUCCAAGUAGAAAUGUGAAUGCAUUUGAUUCAUUGUCCAAGGAUCAUCAUUAUGUCUCACAAAACUAAGGACCUUUUAAAUCUACAUGAUCCAUGAAAAGCAGCAGCUCCUGCAGAAAAGGUAAAGACUUGCUGAACUACAAAAGUGAAGAAGUUUCAGAAAGACAUUAGAACUAAGGUUAUACGGGCAAGAAAAAGAGAAUAUUUGCAUUAACUCUAGACAGGUAGACUCAAUCAAACUUACUUAGCUUCCAUGUUGCUGCUAGAAGGCCAUAAAUUAUCAGAAAAGCAGAAGUAUGAUAAACUUUGAGAUUCAAUAUAGAUAACUAAACCCCAAUCUUGUUGCCAGGAUGCAUAAGAGCCUACCAGCAAGGAAACGCAGAACAACCAUAACCACAAAACAGAACGCAAAUCUUUGAGAUGGUAGUAACUAACAGAAUGCAUCAGUGGAAUUAAUGGUAGGCUUGAACAUGACAAGUGCUGAUUUUAGUACCUUAACAAGUUCAUCAUGCAAUUUUCAUUUCUUGAAGCAUGACAGUAUUACCUCAAGUAGAUAAGAACAAAAAGGAAAAACACACUUGCCAACGCUAUGCUACAACCAAUAAGAACACCGGCCGUAAACUCCCUAAAACAACCAUAGAUUUGCAUGCUAGUACAUUUGCUUCUUCAGGCGUCAGUUUCCCCUAGGGGUUUACCCCAAUAGAAGUAAAAUUAGGCUACAGAGAGUGGCAAAAAGUUCUGCUCUCACUUUCAUAAGACAUGAUACGCCUCUUGUUUUCAAGCCCCGGUUUAGUUUGCAUUUUCUCAAAGCAAUUUUCCAGAAUGUCAAUAGCAAAGAGAAAAUAUCUAGGCCACAAAAAAUGCAUGCGGUUUCCCAUUUCAAAAUGAAGAUAACAACUCAUACAAUGCUGUUCAAACCAGGUUUAAAAGAAAAUCAGAAAGCUUUCACCACUAAUUUAUAUAGCAUGAAUGGCCACUUGCAAAAAUUCUUGCUGAUGAUAUUGUCAUAAGCUAGAAGAACAAGAAAAGUCUAGAAAUUUGGGGAUAAUAUGAGUUGUUACCUCAUCUUCACUGUGAGCAAACACAAAAGAUAAUGGAUGACGGUGAUGGUGAGGGCAAAAGGCCCAAGAAGAAGAAGAAGAAGACAUGUACCUGCUGGGACCGGACUUUUCAAGCUCGUCUAAAGCUUCACCCAUGUGCUCCAAAUUCUUGCUUUGAU